UCGGGGGUGGCGCAACUGGCAGCGCGCAUGAUUCUGGUUCAUGAGGUUGGAGGUUCGAGCCCUCCCCCCCGAG
rnacentral:tRNA from 2 species